rnacentral:rRNA from 1 species
AGGAGAAGUCGUAACAAGGUUUCCGUAGGUGAACCUGCGGAAGGAUCAUUGAAUCGAUCGAAUCCACACCGGUAACCACACUGUCGCCCUCGGUGGUGCAUUCUCUGGCUUCGGCUGGGGUUUCACCCCGAGCGUCGGCCCCUGGGCUGGGGUUCUCACGAGCCGCUUCCAGGUCCGGCGGGCGCCUCCCUUGGGCUCACCCCCUGGGGCUGUCGUCGGCCAAAACCCCUGUAUCCAACCUUUUUUAACACACCCCAAACCACAACCAACUCUGAAGCAUCUUUGGUGGCCCGGCCUCGUGCCGUCCACUCCAAACCAAAGACAACUCUCAACAACGGAUAUCUUGGCUCCCGUAUCGAUGAAGAACGCAGCGAAAUGCGAUACGUAGUGUGAAUUGCAGAAUUCCGUGAACCAUCGAAUCUUUGAACGCAAAUUGCGCCCGAGGCUUCGGCCGAGGGCAUGUCUGCCUCAGCGUCGGUUUACACCCUCGCCCUCCCCCCCUGUGGGGGCUGGUGCGGACCUGGCCCUCCCGGCUCCGCUCUCUCCCGAGCGUCCGGGUUGGCUGAAGCACAGAGGCUUGAGCAUGGACCCCGUUUGUAGGGCAAUGGCUUGGUAGGUAGGCACCCCCUACGCAGCCUGCCGUUGUCCGAGGGGACUUUGCUGGAGGCCCAGCAGGAAUCCGGCCCUUACCGGCUGGACUACUCACUCAUUCGACCUGAGCUCAGGCAAGAUUACCCGCUGAACUUAAGCAUAUCAAUAAGCGGAGGA